UACAGAGGUGGCAAGCGUUGUUCGGAAUUACUGGGCGUAAAGGGCGCGUAGGCGGCCCUCUAAGUCAGACGUGAAAUCCCCCGGCUUAACCUGGGAACUGCGUCUGAUACUGGAUGGCUAGAGUUUGGGAGAGGGAUGCGGAAUUCCAGGUGUAGCGGUGAAAUGCGUAGAUAUCUGGAGGAACACCGGUGGCGAAGGCGGCAUCCUGGACCAACACUGACGCUGAGGAGCGAAAGCCAGGGGAGCAAACGGG
rnacentral:rRNA from 1 species